rnacentral:rRNA from 1 species
AGUAAUGUCUGGGAAACGGCCUGAUGGAGGGGGGUAACUACUGGAAACGGUAGCUAAUACCGCAUAACGUCGCAAGACCAAAGAGGGGGACCGUUCGGGCCUCAUGCCAUCAGAUGUGCCCAGAUGGGAUUAGCUAGUAGGUGGGGUAACGGCUCACCUAGGCGACGAUCCCUAGCUGGUCUGAGAGGAUGACCAGCCACACUGGAACUGAGACACGGUCCAG